CUCACAGUACGAGAUGUGUGAAUGAUCACUAUAGCAGAUAUUAUUCAUCUGGAUCAGAUCAUGAAGAUCAUACAGCUGCAGAUCUAUCUGUUCAUGUUGUAUCAAGCCUCAGAGAGUCUAACAAACACACCAGUAACUUUAGGAUCUGAUGUGAAUAUAACCUGUGAUAUUGAUAUAGAGGAGAUUUACUGGUACAAACUGAAAUUACCGGAUCCUCCAGAGUUGAUUUUACGCACUUACAGCAACACUCAUGAAGGAGGUAAAUAUGAAAACAGCAUCUAUGAACACAAAUACUCAGUGAAAACUAACAGUCGUCUGUUCAUCAAGAAUAUCACCAUUGAUGAAUUAGGAGUUUAUUAUUGUGUGAAAACUAGUGAACCACUAAAAUUCAGCAACGGCACCAAAAUCGACAUCAGCGACUUUGUCCAAAAUAAUAUUACAGACUCGGUCCACAGGAAUCAGACAGAAGACGCUCCACAACAGCAGAUACCAUGGAGAAAUAUGACCAUCUUAUCUGGCCUCCUGAAUGUGCUUCUGAUCAUUGCAUUAAUAGUGUGUUUCAGGUUUGAUGAAGAUUUUAAUUGAUGCAACUGGAAAAUCUGCUGCUCAAAACUCGAAUAAUCCACAGUGUGCUGAAGAUGAUUUCUUCAUGUGCUCCAGAAACACCAGACCUAGUCAGGAGCAGACCACUACUGUCUACAGACAAUGUACCAGUUUUAC